GUGCUCGCUUCCCUUCGGCAGCACCGAAACUAAAGAUUAAAGAUACAGAGAAGGUUAGCAUGGCCCCUGCACAAGGAUGACGCAAAUUCAUGAAGCAUUUCGUAUUUUU